GAUGAACGCUAGCGGCAGGCUUAAUACAUGCAAGUCGUGGGGUAGAGAGGUGCUUGCACUUCUUGAGACCGGCAAACGGGUGCGGAACACGUACACAACCUCCCUUUUAGAGGGGGAUAGCCCAGGGAAACUUGGAUUAAUACCCCGUAAGAUGUUGGUGAGGCAUCUCACUGAUAUUAUAGCAGCGAUGCGCUAGAAGACGGGUGUGCGUAUGAUUAGGUAGUUGGCGGGGUAAUGGCCCACCAAGCCUACGAUCAUUAACUGGUGUGAGAGCACGACCAGUCACACGGGCACUGAGACACGGGCCCGACUCCUACGGGAGGCAGCAGUAAGGAAUAUUGGUCAAUGGACGCAAGUCUGAACCAGCCAUGCCGCGUGGAGGAUGAAGGUCCUCUGGAUUGUAAACUUCUUUUAUCUGGGGCGAAAAAGGGGAAUUCUUUCUCAACUGACGGUACCAGAUGAAUAAGCACCGGCUAACUCCGUGCCAGCAGCCGCCGUAACAC
rnacentral:rRNA from 1 species